rnacentral:tRNA from 1 species
GGGCGGAUGGUGGAAUUGGCAGACACGUAAGCUUCAGGAGCUUAUGACCGUUUGGUCGUGGGGGUUCAACUCCCCCUCCGCCCA